GUGAAAUUGUAGUAUCGGUGAAGAUGCCGGUUACCCGCAGUGGGACGAAAAGACCCCGUGCACCUUUACUAUAGCUUCGUAUUGACCUUGGUCAAGCAAUGUGUAGGAUAGCUGGGAGACUUUGAAGCUGCAUCGCUAGGUGUGGUGGAGUCAUUGUUGAAAUACCAGCCUUUGCUUGUCCGGGGCCUAACUCUCGAUGAGAGAACAGUGCGUGGUGGGUAGUUUGACUGGGGUGGUCGCCUCC
rnacentral:rRNA from 1 species